ensembl:lncRNA
GCCAGUCCUCUUCUGGCUGUGCCGGGUGGAGAUUAUAACAGAACAUGGCCAAGAUGUUCAAAUGUUCAUAAAUGACCAGCAUGGUCAAAUAAUAAUAAGGCAGAACAGUUGAAACUGGAGCAGCAGCACGGCCAGGUGGACUGGGGACAGCAAGGAGUCAUCAUGUCAGGUAGUCCUGGGGCAUGGUCCUAGGGCUUAGGUCCUCCGAGAGAGAGAAAGAGAGAAUUAGAGAACGCACACUUAGAUUCACACAGGACACCGAAUAGGACAGGAGAGGUACUCUAUUUUGAGCAUUAUCUACAACCUGUGUUAAGGUGUCCUCUUUAGCCUUGUCUACAGCCUGUGUUAAGGUGUCCUCUUUAGCCUUGUCUACAACCUGUGUUAAGGUGUCCUCUAUAGCCUUGUCUACAACCUGUGUUAAGGUGUCCUCUUUAGCCUUGUCUACAACCUGUGUUAAGGUGUCCUCUACAGCCUGUGUUAAGGUGUCCUCUUUAGCCUUGUCUACAACCUGUGUUAAGGUGUCCUCUUUAGCCUUGUCUACAGCCUGUGUUAAGGUGUCCUCUUCAGCCUUGUCUACAACCUGUGUUAAGGUGUCCUCU